rnacentral:rRNA from 1 species
CCUACGGGUGGCAGCAGUGGGGAAUAUUGCGCAAUGGGCGAAAGCCUGACGCAGCGACGCCGCGUGAGGGAUGAAGGUCUUCGGAUCGUUAACCCCUGUCAGCAGGGGAGCACGGUCACUGUGCUAAUCAGCAGUGAAUUGACGGUACCUGCAAAGGACGCACCGGCUAACUCCGUGCCAGCAGCCGCUGUAAGACGGAGGGUGCGAGCGUUAAUCGGAAUUACUGGGCGUAAAGCGCUCGUAGGCGGUAUGUCAAGUCAAGGGUGAAAGCCCCGCGCUCAACGUGGGAACUGCCUUUGAAACUGGCAGACUGGAGUGUGUGAGAGGAUAGUGGAAUUCCAGGUGUAGGAGUGAAAUCCGUAGAUAUCUGGAGGAACAUCAGUGGCGAAGGCGACUAUCUGGCACAUAACUGACGCUGAGGAGCGAAAGCGUGGGUAGCGAACAGGAUUAGAUACCCUUGUAGUC